UUUUACGGUUGGGAUUAAAAACAAAAAAUAAUAUUUUUUUUCAGAUUUUUUUUUUCACUAUUUCCCACUCUCUCUCUCUCUUCAGUUCCUCUCCCUCUCUCUCUUUCGAACACCAUGUUUGUUGCCGCUGUUGCUCGCCGGUCGCCGGUCACCGCUCGCCGCUCACCUAUCGCUGGUCGCCUCUCGCCGCUCACGGUUGUGGCGGCGGUUGUUAUGUAUUUUCAAUUCGAUCCCCACUCUCCCCUUUUCGAACGCACAUCGGGCCACCGCUCGUAGCCACCACCACCAUCCAGCUCGCCGCCGCUCUCUGAUCUCCGCUCGCCGCCGCUCUCUGAUCUCCGUUCGCCUCCGCUCUCUGAUCUCCGCUCGCCGACACUCGCUGCUCGCUGCAAUUCUAAUCGCCGGUGGCAACGCUGUUUCUGGUGGCCGCGAAAUCGAACCAGAAAUCCAGCAAUUUCAAUCGGCAAUUUCAAUUGGUGUAGUUGGUGAUUUCUCGUGAUUCGCCGGUCUGUGUUGGUGCUGAGCGAGGCAGCGAAUCCUAGCUCUUCCGAACCAGCAGUGGUGGCGGCAACGGCGGAGUCUGGAAGCACAAUCAUGAACUUCUUCCAUAUACCUGUAAACAUCUUUGUUUGCAUCAUAAAUUUAUUCAAGCACAAUAAUGAACCUUUUUUUUAUCGAUUUUCAGUUUAAAAUUAGACAUAAUUAUCAAAAUUUAUCCACUGUCUUUUUUGUCAA